rnacentral:rRNA from 1 species
CCUGCCCAAGAGAUCGGGAUAACACCUGGAAACAGAUGCUAAUACCGGAUAACAACAGAUGAUGCCUAUCAACUGUUUAAAAGAUGGUUCUGCUAUCACUCUUGGAUGGACCUGCGGUGCAUUAGCUAGUUGGUAGGGUAACGGCCUACCAAGGCGAUGAUGCAUAGCCGAGUUGAGAGACUGAUCGGCCACAUUGGGACUGAGACACGGCCCAAACUCCUACGGGAGCAGCAGCU